AUACGUAUGUUGCAAGCGUUACUCGGAAUCACUGGGCGUAAAGCGUACGACGGCGGAUUAAUAAGUCAGAGGUGAAAUUUUGGGGCUCAACCCUAAAACGGCCUUUGAAACUGUUAAUCUUGAGUAAUAGAGGGGAAGAUAGAAUUCUUGGUGUAGCGGUGGAAUGCGUAGAUAUCAAGAAGAAUACCGGUGGCGAAGGCGGUCUUCUGGCUAUAUACUGACGCUCAUGUACGAAAGCGUGGGGAGCGAACAGGAUUAGAAACCCCAGUAGUCC
rnacentral:rRNA from 1 species